rnacentral:rRNA from 1 species
UACGUAGGGGGCAAGCGUUGUCCGGAAUCAUUGGGCGUAAAGAGCGUGUAGGCGGCCCGAUAAGUCCGCUGUGAAAGUCCAGGGCUCAACCCUGGGAUGCCGGUGGAUACUGUCGGGCUCGAGUCCGGAAGAGGAGUGUGGAAUUCCUGGUGUAGCGGUGAAAUGCGCAGAUAUCGGGAGGAACACCCGUAGCGAAGGCGGCCAUCUGGACCAGCACUGACGCUGAGGCACGAAAGCGUGGGGAGCAAACAGG